rnacentral:rRNA from 1 species
GACGAACGCUGGCGGUGUGCUUAACACAUGCAAGUCGAACGGUAAGGCCCUUUCGGGGGUCCACGAGUGGCGAACGGGUGAGUAACACGUGAGUAACCUGCCCUCAUCUCUGGGAUAACAGUCGGAAACGGUUGCUAAUACUGGAUAUGAGCUUGCAAGGCAUCUUGUGGGUUGGAAAGAUUUUUUUUGGUUGGGGAUGGACUCGCGGCCUAUCAGCUUGUUGGUGAGGUAGUGGCUCACCAAGGCUUCGACGGGUAGCCGGCCUGAGAGGGCGACCGGCCACAUUGGGACUGAGAUACGGCCCAAACUCCUACGGGAGGCAGCAGUGGGGAAUAUUGCACAAUGGACGGAAGUCUGAGGCAGCAACGCCGCGUGCGGGAUGACGGCCUUCGGGUUGUAAACCGCUUUCAAUUGUGACGAAGCUUUUUUGUGACGGUAGCAGUAGAAGAAGCACCGGCUAACUACGUG